CGUUCUACGGGGUUUGCCGGGUGGUGGUGAAGGGCGGAGAGCCCAACACGCAUGCGUAUAAAGAAGCGGUGAAGGAGCCCCCUGGUAGCAUUGGCAUUUCGUUUUUGGCUGUAGUGGCAGCGCGUUGAAGAAACCAAAUCACCAUGGUUAACGUAAAGUGCUACUGCUUUGUGGUUAGAGGUGAAACUGUGUAUUAGCGUUGAGUCAAGCGCGUGCAAUUUUUUUUUUUAACGUUUGGUUAACGUUGAUGCUGUUAUAUCUAUGUAUAAUAAUUCUAUAAAAUGGCGCAUUUUCCAGGCAAAAAGAUAAAUGUUGCGUGUUCGAUGUCUUUCUGUGAGUGACUUCCUUCUAGACUCGCCAUUGGCCAUGGAGCUGCAUGCCGGCCUCAGAUUGGCUGUCAAUGACGUUAUUCCCACUGCAUGCAGGUGGAGCCUAGCGCAAGAUCUCUGGUCAGGACGGCGUUCAUAAAUAUGGACUCCAUUAUGGGGCAGGAUUGGCGCUCUCCUGUGGGGGGAAAUCCUGCCGACCGUAUUCGACCCGGAGCUCUCGGAAAGGACUAAUUCUACUGCACAGGUGCUGCUAGACUAGAGAGUGUUUCCAACAUUUUCUGAUCACUUUGUUAUUGUUUUAAUUGAUUGGAUUGCCUCCAUCUGAACUAAAAUGAGAGCCUUUUUUUCAUAUGUAGGAUGGGAAGUGAAUUGUGAUAGAAGGGGAUAAAUAUCUAUUUGAAAUUUUUGAUUUGUAUUUGAAAUUUUUGAUUUCAGUUGACCUGAAGAAAACUAGACAAGUUGUUGUAAAUGUGAUUAAAUUAGAUUGUGUAUAGUUUGAAGGUAUCUGUUAAACUGCACAAUGAGCAUGCAAUGUUUAGUAAGAUUUAAUGUUCAAGUUGAUGUUGCACAAUUAGUUGAAAUUACUAUUUGUAAUUAUUGUAGUCUGUAGUGAAGA